GCCCAGCGCGGGCGGCUGUGGCGGCGGCUGGGGCGCUCGCCCCCGGUAGAGCGGGGCGGCUCUCGCGAGAGGCGGCGCCAUGGGGGUGCACGGCGUCAAGGCGGUGUUCUUCGACCUGGACAACACGCUGGUGGACACGGCGGCGGCCGGGCGGCGCGCCAUCGAGGAGGUGAUCAGCGCUCUGCAGUCAAAGCACCACUACGGCGAGGGAGAAGCCCGUGUCAUCUGCGAUAAGGUGCAGGCCAAGCUUCUCAAGGAGUGUCACGACCCCGCCAAGAUGUGCAUCACCGACCUGCGGAUUUCGCACUGGGAGGAGGCGAUCCAAGAAACGAUCGGGGGGGAGGCGAACCGAAACCUCGCCGCCGAGUGCUACUACCUGUGGAAAACCACCCGCCUGCAGCACCUGACCCUGGCCGAGGACACGCGGGGCAUGCUGACCGAGCUGCGGAAGGGCGUCCGCCUGCUGCUCUUGACCAACGGAGACAAACAGACCCAGAGGGAGAAGAUCGAAGCCUGCGCCUGCCAGCCCUACUUCGAUGCCAUCGUGGUGGGAGGGGAGCAGAAGGAGGAGAAACCGGCGCCAUCCAUAUUUCAUUACUGCUGCGAUCUCCUGGGGGUGCAGCCCGCAGAGUGUGUUAUGGUCGGUGACUCUCUAGAUACAGAUAUUCAAGGUGGCCUGAAUGCUGGCUUGAAAGCAACCGUCUGGUUAAACAAAGCAAUGACAACCCCUCUAGAUACCUCCCCGGUACCUCACUAUAUUAUUUCUUCUGUUCUGGAUCUUCCAGCAGUUUUACAGAAGAUGGAGCACAAAAUGAAUGCUAAGUUAGGAACUGACCAUAUGGCUAGUAGUAAUGAAGCACAUUGAUGGUUCCAGCAUGCAGUCAGUGGCAUGCUGAGCUGUUAGGUGACUCGUGCUCUUUUAAAACAUUUGACCCUAGGAUUUUCAACUCGUGUAUGGUAUGCUUUCCGGAACAGCAGAUGGAUAAGAGCACAGUUGUCAGUGAAAACAGGAUAGAAACAAAGAAUUAGGUUCAUUUAAAAGAUGCAAGUGCAGUUAAUUUAAAACAACUGCCUUUGUGUGGAAAGAAUUUUGACAGACUGUGGCUAAAGUCUGUCUGUCUCUGACCUAAGUUGCCAGUCUUCCGUUUUUAUAGUGGAAAAGAAAAUUUGAAUGUUUUGGUCUUUCACAUGCUUUGCUGACUUGUGAGUUUUUAGCAGAAGCUUCAGUUCAAGCCUUGUUUGCAGUGUGUAAAAGAAAGUGAGAAAGGGAGUGUGGUACAAUUGGGUAAAUCUGCACAAUUGAUCUGCAGUUUAUCUCAGGAACUGGAGUGAAUUUUUCUAUUUCUAAAACCAGAAUUUAUUGACAGAAUUUAUUAUGUGUCAGACCAUUAGAAAAUGCUCUACCUUUGAUCUUUUUUUCAAAUUUUAGACUUUUUCUCAGACUUUGCAGUGACUUUUCUUUUAUGGAAUCUGUACCUCUUGCCAAAAGUACUUAAAUGUACAUUUAAAAUUUGCAUUUGUAUAGGGGACCAUUUAUCAGAGGGACUUGUUGAGUAAGUUUCUACUUCAUAUUAUCUUGGUGCAUAUGCGAUAUACAGUAUACUUGUAAUUGAGAUUAUGAUUUUUGUUGGAAUGUAAUUGAUAAGACAGAUAUUUUCAGUGGUCUUACUGUACUGUCAGACUCUCUAAAAGCUAAUAGUAUUGUUUUGUCUGACUUUAUUAGUGCAUUUUGAUCAGACUACUUGAAGAAACUGUUCUUGGUCUUGCUCAAGUGUAUGACUGCUUAGAUUCAACUGCAGAAUCAGCGCUUUUUUUGACUGUUUUAAUGGCACUGCUAUACCAUCCCUCCUUACUCCAGUUUCUACAUGUAUUUUACAGUAUUUACUCUGGAGAAAGUAUGAGCUAGUUGUUUGGAAAUGGUUUUCUUGACUCUUCCAUGAAAUUGGAAAAUUAUGUAAUGUAUUACAGUAAUCUGUACAACUUUGUAAUAUGUAUGUGCUAUUUCUACUAGAUGCAGAAGAUGACUCUCUAAGAUUUCUCUUUCCCAGCUCAUUGCUAGUCGAACCUGAUCAAGCUGAAUGCCAACUCAGAUGUGCCUACGUGUCCUGAUGUCAUGGCGCAGGCUGCUGCAGCAGCUCAAGAACAGGCAGCA